rnacentral:rRNA from 1 species
UGUGUAGGCGGUUCUCCAAGUUUGGUGUGAAAUCUCCCGGCUCAACCGGGAGGGUGCGCCGAAAACUGGAGGGCUAGAGUGCGGGAGGGGAGAGUGGAAUUCCUGGUGUAGCGGUGAAAUGCGUAGAUAUCAGGAGGAACACCGGUGGUGUAGACGGCUCUCUGGACCGUAACUGACGCUGAGACACGAAAGCGUGGGUAGCAAACAGGAUUAGAUACCCUGGUAGUCCACGCCCUAAACGAUGCAUAUUUGGUGUGGGUCAUUCAGUUGAUCCGUGCCGGAGCUAACGCGUUAAAUAUGCCGCCUGGGGAGUACAGUCGCAAGGCUGAA